AAACCGUUGAAAGGGAAGCGAAUGGAGUUAGCAAUUCGCCACGCCAGAUUCAGCUGCCCGUGCGGUGCGACGGACGUGCUCUCGAUCCGCAUGGACGAGGCGCGUGCGGAUGCGCCGUGCGAGCAGCGCACUUCUGGCGGGCGAGCGUCAGCGUCGGCCGAGGACGGGCGACAAGGAUGCGGGAAAGGUGGGCCGGCACUUGCUGCCGGUUGUUAUAGCCCUGCAAUCGUACGGCCCGUCGUCGACCGUGGAACUGCUACGAAGCGUGCUGCCUUGCAUAGGGCGGCUGGAGGCCCGUGCCGAUCGGUCCGGCAUGUCGACCGUUGGCGGACGGCACGCCUGUGCGCUCGAACUGCUGCCGGUCGAUCGAUCGGUGCUCGCACACCACGCUUCGAAGACGCUGACGGCCAUACGGCUCCAUCCGACCCGUCUUGAAACACGGACCAAGGAGUCUAACAUGUGCGCAAGUCUCCGGGUGAUCGAAACCCGUGGGCACAAUGAAAGUAAAGACCGUCCCAGACGGUUGAGGUGAGAAGCGGCAYGUGCCGUCGCAUCAUCGACCGACCUAUUCUGCUCUCAGAGAGGUUUGAGUAAGAGCGCAUCUGUUGGGACCCGAAAGAUGGUGAACUAUGCCUGAAUAGGGUGAAGCCAGCGGAAACACUGGUGGAAGCUCGUAGCGAUUCUGACGUGCAAAUCGAUCGUCGAAUUUGGGUAUAGCGGCGAAAGACUAAUCGAACCAUCUAGUAGCUGGUUCCCUCCGAAGUUUCCCUCAGGAUAGCUGGAGUUCAAGCGAUGCAGU
rnacentral:rRNA from 1 species